rnacentral:rRNA from 1 species
UGGUCAUGCAGAAAAGAGCAUAUGGUGGAUGCCUUGGCACUAAGAGCCGAUGAAAGACGUGAUAAGCUGCGAAAAGCUUCGGGGAGGAGCAAAUAUCCUACGAUCCGGAGAUAUCUGAAUGGGGAAACCCGGCGGAGAAGCCCUCCGUCAUCCUUAACCGAACACAUAAGUUAAGGAAGGGAACCCGGCGA